AUUAGAGAUGCCAAUAAAAUUGCAAAACUGGUCCUUAAAUGCAGCACAGGACAGAGCAGCUCUGUUACAUUCUGCGCAGGUUUUCUGUACAAUAACGGAUCAUUCUAGUAAAAUACUGGUAUAUACCUCAGCAGUAUUUGCUAUGUCAGGUCAGUGUUGGUCAAAUGUUUUUUCAAAUCAGUUUUUCUAAAUGAAUGAAAUCAGUAAAAUGGUCAGAAAAUCUGUAUAUUUCUUGCUGGUAAUGUGUUGACUGAACACAGUGAAUACACUUUAUAUUUCUUUUCACAUAUUUUCUCUCAGUGUUUACCAGCUCCCUCCCCAGUGCCACUGACAGCACCUGAGGUUCAGACAGGUCAAACUCUGCGAGGCAGCUUGUGUGGUUAUUCUGUCCUGGAGUUUCUUGCUGCUACAGCAAUGUGACCAAGUGUCAGAAUUUGGAGACCAAAGAGACAGUCGCUGUCCAGGUCCUCAAGGACACUGAUUUUAUUCAGGCCACUGAGAAAGAGGUAGACCUUUAAAAGUUGUUUCUAUUUUAUUUCCAUACUCAGACUUCUUCAGCAUAAUGUACUUUACACCAUGAACUGUUGUUAUCUGCUUAUACAAUCUAGAUAAUAUCCUCUUAUCCUCCACAGGUGGCCAUAGUAAAGGUCAUAAGUGUAAUAAAUCCAGACAUCACUAAUGUUGAGAUGUUCUUGAAGGAGUUUGAACAUGAGAAACAUCUCUCUAGCAUUUGAGACCCUGGACACAAGUCUCUAUGACAUGCUCAAGAAAUAAAAUGUCUGUGUUUCUGUAAUAUGGAAUUCUCCUUUGUUCUGAAAUUGAUCAAUAAAGAAACCCGAACUUCCCAUACAGCAAUAGAUGGAAAACCAAAUUCCAUGCUUGUCCUUUCUAUGUUUGUCUCUGCAGCUGUUGGUGGUCUUGGAUGUCCUGUUUGACAGGGCACAGAGCUGCCCCUUCAGGGUCAAAUGAAUUGAUUUUAGUGAAGCCAUUCCAGUCUCAAAGCCCAGCCUGGGUUGGACCGUUAACUUGGCCGGGAAAGACAUUGUCCUUGGCCUCCCCUUCACUGAGACUACAGACGAGUGGGGAGAGGGCUGCUGGUCUUUCUCUACCUCUCAGAUAACCCUCCAGAGUUGUCUGUGACUAGCAGAUGGUAGAUCAGAUGGUAAAAACUUCACACAGAACCUCCGCUGACCUCAGUGCAUAAUCUGUUUGCAGAUGAAGUUCAAGAAUGAGGUUCUGGGUCAACUAAAAGACUACCUGCUCCUGGAAAUUUUUGCACUUUUUUUCAGUGAGGAGGAGCAGAAGCAUCUGACAGCUUCAUUUAGCUGUCGAGGUCUGCUGAUGACCUGGUAAUGCAAAUAAUCUCAGUUGUGUUGUUUGAGUAAAGACCAAACCAGUAACAGUUUGUUGAUCUGCCUUUGAGAUAGUGGGAGCUGAUCAGCUGGCCUCACUCUGUCUCCAAACCCUGAUCAGUCCUAAAGGGGUCCUGCUGAAUUUGAAGACAGGAGUGCUUUUGUGGACCUCCUGAAAUGACUGCUGCAAUUUGACGGGGAUCAGAGAAACUCUCCUGGUGAAACUCUGCAGCCACUUUCUAUCCCAAUGUCACAUUUGAUCGAGCAACCUGACCGCAGAGACUAAGUGAGUAAGUGUCUGUGACCUUUCUGUUGGCAGUAGAUAACACAUGAGGUUUCAUGAACUGCACUGAUGCCUGUAUUGCGUGACUGACUCACACACUGGUUGUCAUACUUCCUCCAGUUGGACCACGUCCCAAGCUAUGAUGAAUGUCUUUCCAGUGGAGGACUCAGCAAACAAGGUGAGCACCUCUGUAGCAUUUAAACCUAAUCAGAAAUCAGCCACUAGCUUUAUGUUGGAGGUUUACACUAUGGUCACUCUGACAGCAGUGACAACACUCCAGUCAUUUGGUGGAAUCAAGACUGCUGUCUGUUAUGAAGGUGGUUCCACUGAUGGGCGGUUUCCAGACUUCUGAUGGAGCCUUUAGAGAAGAGCACCAGCUCCUGUGUGAUUUGAUGGAUGACUGCUUACUCCUUAAUACAAUGGUCAUCUGGACAACAUCCUUCUGCCAUUUACCAAAAUCCUGCCGCCUGGUCUUCUGCUGGACCACAUACAUGGGACAAUAAGACUCCUUAUCAGAAUCAGAGCUACCCUUUUCUGCUGCUGGCUUCAUUCUGUGGAGGACUGACUCCAUUUACCUUUUAAAUUUUUUGAUAUUUGAUAAGUUAUGCCUGGCAAGUUUGUUACUUAUAUAAUUUUUACAUUGGAUUUUACAACAAUAUAAUGCCUCAGACUACCUUCAUCAAAACUGUAAGUCAAAAGAAAGUUAUAGGCUUGUUGUUAAAAUGAGCAAUUUCCAACCAGGGAUGUCAAAACUACUUAACUCGCUUACUUAUUAAAAUAACUGUAGCUCCCAAUUGAUACGUACUCAGAGUUUGUGCUGACCUAAAGUCUUGCCAUAGCUAAACUGACUGCAUUGCUGUAUUUUAAGGGACAGACAACAAUUUCGAUAGUCUGACAAAAUUGACUCGUUCUAUGUAGGCUCCAUACCUGAAUGUUUUUUUUUAACUUGAAAAAGUAGUUUUGACACAUUUUUGUUCAUGUACAUAUUCAUGUUUAUGUUGGGAGGUGGUCGCUUCACAUACAUGUAGUCACAAAUGAUUGAUGUAAUAGUGAGUAAGCACAAAAUCUCAUUCCUUACGGUCCUCAUAAAAAUAAAUAAAAACAAGAAAUAA